UAGGGAUUUAAUAACAAAAAAAGGGUGAAAAAAUAAACUAGUAUUUUGCCACAACAAUUAACGACGAAAAAAUGGACUCUAAACUUUUAUAUAUAUUGUCAUAAAAAUUAGAUUAUAUAGUGACAAAACUAUCUGUCAAUGUAAUAUUUUUAAAAUAUAUAUAUAUAUUUAUUGGAUAGUGACGGAUGUUAUAAUCUAUCACUAAUUCUGUUGCAAAAUAUUUUUAAGUGAUAUAUUUUUAGGGCAUAAAAUAUUCACACUAACAUUUUCAGAUGAAGUUCUGAAACUCCUAGUCUCCAUCUCGGAAAAUCCAUUUAGAUUUAAAACUCCAUCUUGAAGCUGGUAACACUCAAAGCUCUGAAACAAGACUCCAUCUCGAAGCUCUAAAGCAAGUCUCCAUCUAGAAAGGUAACUUUUAUUGCUAUGACUACUUACUACCGACUCAUCCUUUCUGUAAAAGGAAUCUCUCUUUUUUCUUUUCUGCUUAAUAUCUUUCUUUUUUUCAUAAAAAUGUGUUGAUAUAUAUUUUUUGUUUAUACUUUUGUUUGGAUUCAUUUUUUGGUGAAAAAUAAUGUUAGUAAAGUAUUGAAUCUAGUGUUAAAAGUUGUUUCUAGUUGAUUAUUGUUAUUCUUAUUUAGGAUCUUUCACGUGUGAUCCAUAACUUCAUUUUUUUAAAAUUAAUACUCUAAAGUGGUUUGUUAUGUUUUUUUUCACUUGAAUGUACAAUGAGUGAUCUUGCUGGUAGUUGUCACAAGCCUCAAGUACCCCCUAGAAGCUAGGGAUAACCCUCGGAUCGUCACCGGGCGUACUUGACCCUGUGGGGUCCUGUACAAGCCCUUUAACUAUCGUUCAUUACAUAAAACAUGAAAAGUAGUGAGGCAUUUAAAACUUUUCACGAAUAAUUUAACAAAAGAAAACUUUCAUAAAUACUUAGAGAAUCUCAUCAUCACAAACCAAACUUAAGACACGACAUAAUAUACUAGGGAUACGGCCCUUUACAUUGAAAGAGAAAUACAUUAUAAGUCUUUAAUUAAGAAACUAUGAACAUGACUAUGCCAUUGAUUAUACGACAUACUUUAUCUUAAGAGCAUCUUUCUCAAGCUUCACCUCCAAACCUUCAAAAGCUUCCAACCUAUACUUAUAAAGUAUAUAACAUUAUGGGGUUAGUGCAAAACAAUGUACUUAGUAUGGCAUAUGUAAAAUCAUGUAAAAAGUGACAUUUUAGUAAAAUAACCUUUAAUGCCAAAAAAAUUAUAACAUUCAUGAAUCUAUAAGCAAAACAUCAUAAGAAACAUCAUUUAACACUUAGAUAAGAGUUUCCAUAAAUUUUAAACCAAAAGAACACUUUACUGUAAACUUUCCAACUUUACAGUAAGCUCAUUUAACAAUUACAGUGAACUAAAAGACUCCUACAAUGCUGAACAUCCAAGGUAUUGCCAAUGAGGAAGUGAUUAGUAGGAGUUUCCCUACCUAAAGUUAUCCAAAGACUAUCCAAGGUAAGACAUGAAGAAAACAUCUAAACACUUCCUUGAAUACACAAAUACACACCCAUGCAGUCCUCAAGACUAACCCUUUCAGCUUACUCACCUCGGGAGAACAAGUCACCACUCAAUCACAACAUAUUAGAAGAACACCCAAUAAAACACCAAAGACUUCCCUUUUGGAAUUCUUACUUAGUGGAAUGAGUAGAUAGCGUCCCGUACCACCACCUACCUGAUGUAGUACACUCUUUUAGAAGGUUUGGCACCAAGUCUUCCCUUUUGGAAGGUCCUACUUAGUGCAAUAGAUAGAUAGCGUCACAUGCCACCACCUACCCUAAGUAGCACGUUCUUUUAGAAGACAUAGUUCAUUCAAUUCACAUAAGGCUCACCAACAGUGUCCUUUCGGAAUUCCUCCCUAGUGCAACGGAUAAAUAGCGUCCCAUUCCACUACCUACCCUAAGUAGCACACUCUUUUAUAAGACUUAGUACUUUCAUAACAUUUGUGGGGGUUUGCUUAACCGACAAAGACCAUGAGAGCUAGACAUGGAACUCCUGAUAUUAACCCCUAUUGGAUUGAGGGAUCCUCACUUGCCUAAAGUAAGGUCAUACUUCUUGGCUUUUACAUGAAUUUUCCAAUAGCUACACCUAUGCGGGCACAUAAUUAAGGGAUAAGGAUAUUGCUACUAAGUAACUCAUUAUCUACUAACAACGGGUACUCAUCUCAAGAGGUACAUUAGAACACAACAUCUCAACUCACGAAGUGUAACCACCCCUUCUUCAUAUCCUCUCGGUGCUAGGCAUAACUCCGCACGAAUUCUCAACAUUAUAUAGUAUAGGUUAAGGAUAACUAGUGAAUACCACAUGUUAACUCACGAAGGGAAUAUAUCCUCCAACCUAUCUUAGAAAUCUCAUUCGGAAUAGUAAGGUUGCUACUAAACACUUUAUCUCAACUAACGAAAAGUGUUCACCCCAAGACUCCCCUUUUUACUCAUCUUAGUUUCAUACAUUCAUUUAAGUGUGUGUGUGCGUGUGUGUACAUGUGAGCACACCUUGCAUAUAAGCAUCAUUUCAUUCUUAUUAUUUCUAUACAUGCUUUAGACCUUUAUUCAUCAAAUCACACACUUUACAUACUUCACAUAAUCAUAUAAGUCAUUUAGGCAUACUCUCUAGCCUACUUCAGAUUUUCGCCUUACAAAACACAUUAAACAAGAAUAAUAUCAUUUACAUCCUUAUUUCACAUAAAAAGCCUUCAUGUACUCAUUCACAAUGAAUAAUUAAAUUCACAUUCAUAUAAGCCAAGUAAACACCGCCACCAAGAAGGUGGACCAUACCACUUAAGAGAAAUUUAUAAUAAGGACUAUACAAUAUAAGCAACUUACCAUUAAAUCAAGCCAGUAUCAUAUAUAACCAAUUUCUCAAUAUUUUGUCAUUAUAAGGCCUUAAUGGAAGUAGCUAAACCAAUAUAACUACACAAGAAAACUAAAGCUCAUUCUCUACACAAACAUGCUCACUUAACCCAUUUCUUAAGUUAAAAGUUUGAAAUAUGCAUAAACAUGAGUUCAUUAUAGUUUUGAAAUUAAAAUCAUCAAUUAAUGCUAGAAUAAAUACAUUUCAAUCAUUAAAACACUUUUACAAGAAGACCCGUGCUUAAAAGCAAAGGUACAAAAAGUAGAGUUUGAAAACCCUUUUUGAAAUCUUUUAGAAAGGACUCCCUGAAUGGAAGAGGGUUCAAGGAUGGAUACCAUACCUCAAAUUCAAGACAAACACACACGCGCGCACACACACACACACACACACACACAUAUAUAUAUAUAUAUAUUCAUAAAAGGAAUUGUAAUUGAACUAUAAAUUGUAAUCUUACUCAAUUUCAUAUUCCUAUAUAUGGUUUAUUGCCCAAACCAAAAAGGAAUUAUAAUUCAACCAGGAAUUGUAAUCCUACUAAAUUUCAUAUUCAUAUAUAUGUUUUAUUGUCCAAGCCAAAAAGAAAUUGUAAUUGAACUGGGAGAAGGAUUUUAUCCCACAACAUGACAUUUAUAAAUAGAUACAUUGUCUCCAUAAUUUUAUCUUCAAUUACAAACUCUGAGCCUACGAAGAAAAGGGCAUACUCAAGGUAAUUUUCCUCCUUUUUUUAUUUAUUUUCAUCACUUUUUUACAGAUUGACAUGUCUGUCGUAGAAAAUUUAUAUCUCAUUGUAGAAAAAUUGAAAUCAUGAACCAUUUGAUUUUUCAUAAACGACUUUUCGAUAUCUAACAUAUCCAAAAUUCAAAAUUUAAUACCUUCAGAAUCUUUCUAGAUGAUUUUUUGAAGUUAGCUCUAGAUUUUGUCAUGCUAAAAAUUUGUCACUUUUUUUUACAGCCUGACAUAUCCGUCAUAGAAAA